rnacentral:rRNA from 1 species
UAAGACGGAGGGCGCAAGCGUUGUUCGGAAUUACUGGGCGUAAAGGGCGGGCAGGCGGCCUGUUAAGUCGUGUGUGAAAAUCCGGGGCUCAACCCCGCGAAAUGCUCACGAUACUGGCAGACUGGAGACCGGUAGAGGCUAGCGGAAUUCCUGGUGUAGCGGUGGAAUGCGUAGAUAUCAGGAAGAACACCUGUGGCGAAGGCGGCUAGCUGGGCCGGGUCUGACGCUGAACCGCGAAAGCGUGGGGAGCAAACAGGAUUAGAUACCCUGGUAGUCCACGCUGUAAACGAUGGGCACUAGGUACCGGGUCUAUAGACGGAUUCGGUGCCGCAGCUAACGCAUUAAGUGCCCCGCCUGGGGAGUACGGUCGCAAGGCUG